rnacentral:rRNA from 1 species
GUCUAUGGUCUUACGACCCUGAAAUCUUCUGAUCUUGUCUGAUCUCAAAAACUAAGCAGGUUUGAGUCUGGCUAAUAUUUGGAUGAUAAGGGUGAUUAGGUAUUUUAGAGA